rnacentral:rRNA from 1 species
GAUGAACGCUAGCGGUGCGCCUAACACAUGCAAGUCGAGCGCCUAUCGCAAGAUAGGAGCGGCGAACGGGUGCGUAACACGUUGGUACCCACCUCGAACUCAGGGAUAACCUCGCGAAAGCGUGGCUAAUACCGGAUAGUCCCGAAAGGGUAAAGAUUUAUCGGUUCGAGAGGGGCCUGCGGAGUAUCAGUUAGUUGGCAGGGUAACGGCCUACCAAGACUAUGACGCUUAGCUGAUCUGAGAGGAUGAUCAGCCACAAUGGAACUGAGACACGGUCCAUACUCCUACGGGAGGCAG